rnacentral:rRNA from 1 species
UCAGACGAUGCGUCAUGCAUAUCAAUAAGCGGAGGAAAAGAAACUAACAAGGAUUCCCCUAGUAACGGCGAGUGAAGCGGGAAGAGCUCAAAUUUGAAAUCUUAAAGGGUUUCCCUUUACGAAUUGUAGUUUAAAGAAGUGUUUUCUGUUGAGGUUAUGGUAAAAGUUCUUUGGAAUAGGACAUCAUAGAGGGUGAGAAUCCCGUAUUUGACCUUUACUUUCAACUUUGUGAUACACUUUCAAAGAGUCGGAUUGUUUGGGAAUGCAGUCCAAAAUGGGUGGUAAAUUUCAUCUAAAGCUAAAUAUUGGCGAGAGACCGAUAGCGAACAAGUACCGUGAGGGAAAGAUGAAAAGAACUUUGAAAAGAGAGUUAAACAGUACAGUGAAAUUGUCAAAAGGGAAGCGUUUGACACCAGUGUUGUUUUUCUGAAAAUCAAUUAAAGAACUGUUUAUGCUAAGUUGUUUAGACUUUAUCAGCUAACUGUUUAGUUUUGAGCUUUUCUUUAAUGCACUUUUCAGUUAACAAGUCAACAUCAAUUUCUUUUGCUGUAAAAAAGCUUGAGGAAGGUGGCUUGAGAUUCGUCUUAAGUGUUUAUAGCCUCUUGCCUAUGCAGUCGGAGAGAUUGAGGUCUGCAGCGUAGAUCCUUCGGGGCUAAAUGCAUUUGUGCUAAGUUAUAGCAUUUUAUAGACAACUUGUUGACUAUGAUUUGUCUUGUAGCUUACUCGCUUAUGUUAUUUUACCUACGCUUAGGAUGUUGAAUCUGUGCGAGACUAC